rnacentral:ncRNA from 1 species
AGUGCUGGAUAAUUAACAAUAAAAUAUUCCCUGGUAGCUCAGCGGCAGAGCAGCUGACUGUUAAAAGAGGCAGCUUCCGCAAGUAAUUGCGGUCGAAUAAUUGGGUGAAUUCGGGGAACUCCAGAACGGACAAUCCCGAGCCAAGCCACAAUGGGUAGAAGUAUUGUGGAAGGUGUAGAGACUAGCGAGUGAGUCCCAACAAUAAUCUCGCAAAUAGCGCCCAACUCCGUCAUUGGCGGAAGAUAAGAUAGUCCAUGCCAUAUGGGAACAUAUGG